rnacentral:rRNA from 1 species
UUUAGUCAGGCAACGAGCGAGACCCGUGCCCACUGUUACCAGCAUGUCCUUCGGGACGAUGGGUACUCUGUGGGGACCGCCGGUGUCAAAUCGGAGGAAGGUGCGGGCCACGGUAGGUCAGUAUGCCCCGAAUCUCCCGGGCUACACGCGGGCUACAAUGAAUGGGACAAUGGGUCCCUUCCCUGAAAAGGGUUGGCAAUCUCACAAACCCAUCCUUAGUUCGGAUCGAGGGCUGUAGCUCGCCCUCGUGAAGCUGGAAUCCGUAGUAAUCGCGUUUCAAUAUAGCGCGGUGAAUACGUCCCUGCUCCUUGCACA